AUUGAACGCUGGCGGCAGGCCUAACACAUGCAAGUCGAACGGUAACAGGAAGCAGCUUGCUGCUUCGCUGACGAGUGGCGGACGGGUGAGUAAUGUCUGGGAAACUGCCUGAUGGAGGGGGAUAACUACUGGAAACGGUAGCUAAUACCGCAUAACGUCGCAAGACCAAAGAGGGGGACCUUCGGGCCUCUUGCCAUCGGAUGUGCCCAGAUGGGAUUAGCUUGUUGGUGGGGUAACGGCUCACCAAGGCGACGAUCCCUAGCUGGUCUGAGAGGAUGACCAGCCACACUGGAACUGAGACAUGGUCCAGACUCCUACGGGAGGCAGCAGUGGGGAAUAUUGCACAAUGGGCGCAAGCCUGAUGCAGCCAUGCCGCGUGUAUGAAGAAGGCCUUCGGGUUGUAAAGUACUUUCAGCGGGGAGGAAGGGAGUAAAGUUAAUACCUUUGCUCAUUGACGUUACCCGCAGAAGAAGCACCGGCUAACUCCGUGCCAGCAGCCGCGGUAAUACGGAGGGUGCAAGCGUUAAUCGGAAUUACUGGGCGUAAAGCGCACGCAGGCGGUUUGUUAAGUCAGAUGUGAAAUCCCCGGGCUCAACCUGGGAACUGCAUCUGAUACUGGCAAGCUUGAGUCUCGUAGAGGGGGGUAGAAUUCCAGGUGUAGCGGUGAAAUGCGUAGAGAUCUGGAGGAAUACCGGUGGCGAAGGCGGCCCCCUGGACGAAGACUGACGCUCAGGUGCGAAAGCGUGGGGAGCAAACAGGAUUAGAUACCCUGGUAGUCCACGCCGUAAACGAUGUCGACUUGGAGGUUGUGCCCUUGAGGCGUGGCUUCCGGAGCUAACGCGUUAAGUCGACCGCCUGGGGAGUACGGCCGCAAGGUUAAAACUCAAAUGAAUUGACGGGGGCCCGCACAAGCGGUGGAGCAUGUGGUUUAAUUCGAUGCAACGCGAAGAACCUUACCUGGUCUUGACAUCCACGGAAGUUUUCAGAGAUGAGAAUGUGCCUUCGGGAACCGUGAGACAGGUGCUGCAUGGCUGUCGUCAGCUCGUGUUGUGAAAUGUUGGGUUAAGUCCCGCAACGAGCGCAACCCUUAUCCUUUGUUGCCAGCGGUCCGGCCGGGAACUCAAAGGAGACUGCCAGUGAUAAACUGGAGGAAGGUGGGGAUGACGUCAAGUCAUCAUGGCCCUUACGACCAGGGCUACACACGUGCUACAAUGGCGCAUACAAAGAGAAGCGACCUCGCGAGAGCAAGCGGACCUCAUAAAGUGCGUCGUAGUCCGGAUUGGAGUCUGCAACUCGACUCCAUGAAGUCGGAAUCGCUAGUAAUCGUGGAUCAGAAUGCCACGGUGAAUACGUUCCCGGGCCUCGUACACACCCCGUCACACCAUGGGAGUGGGUUGCAAAAGAAGUAGGUAGCUUAACCUUCGGGAGGGCGCUUACCACUUUGUGAUUCAUGACUGGGGUG
rnacentral:rRNA from 1 species